AAAAGCGGUGGAAAGUUCAAUAGAUGGAGUACGUUGCGGGGCAGAGGGAAUUUCCUGGUGUAGCGCUGAAGAUGAGUAGAGAUCAGGAAGAACACCGGUGGGGGAAAGCGCUCUUCCUAGGCCUGUACUGACACUGAGGGACGAAAGCUAGGGGAGCGAAAAGGAUUAGAUACCCCAGUAGUCCUAGCCGUAAAAGAUGAAUACUAGGCGUGGCUGGUAUCGACCCGAGCCGUGCCGGAGCUAACGCGUUAAGUAUCCCGCCUGGGGAGUACGCACGCAAGUGUGAAACUCAAAGGAAUUGACGGGGGCCCGCACAAGCGGUGGAGUAUGUGGUUUAAUUUGAUGCAACGCGAAGAACCUUUCCACGCCUUGACAAGUCGCGAACCUCUCCAAAAAGAGAGGGGUCCUUAGAAAAGACGAACACAGCAGGUGCAGGACGGUUGUCAUCAGGUGUCGUGAGAAGAUGGGGGAAGUAGUCCAACGAGGACAACCCUCGUUGUCAGUAGCCAGCACAUAGAUGGGCACUCUAGAGAGA
rnacentral:rRNA from 1 species